rnacentral:rRNA from 1 species
AUGUCCGCGGCGCCCCACUCUUCGACAGCCGUGGAGACGCCGACGGCGACGGCGGUGGCGCCGGCGCCCCUCCCGCGGCUUCCGAACCCGCUGCCGCUGCCGCUGUUCGCCGAGCGCGGCGGGGGCGCGAGGCUACGCCACCACGCCUACAGCCGCAAGCAGAAGUCGCUCGGCCUGCUCUGCUCCAACUUCGUGGCCCUGUACGACCGGGACGGCGUGGAGUCCAUCGGGCUGGACGACGCAUCCAGGCGCCUCGGCGUCGAGAGGCGCCGGAUCUACGACAUCGUCAACGUGCUCGAGAGCGUCGGGAUCCUUGCGAGGAAGGCCAAGAACCGCUACUCCUGGAUAGGCUUCGGAGGGGUCCCGAUGGCGCUGCGAGAGCUCAAGGAGAGGGCAUUGAGAGAGAAGUCUGGCCUGGCUCCUCUGCCAGUGGAGGAGCUAUCUGCUGCCAAUAUGUCCGAUGACGAGGACGAUGAUAAGCUGGGUGAUCCGGAGGCCGAAACAGAGGGUGACAAGCUGAGCCAGACUGUUGACAAUCCUUCUGACAUGCCUGAUGCACCUCCCUGCCGGCUUAGAUCUGAUCAUAGGAAGGAGAAGUCUCUUGGGUUGCUCACUCAAAAUUUUGUGAAGCUGUUCCUCACCAUGGAGCAGGUUAGCACGAUCUCACUUGAUGAAGCUGCAAAGUUCCUCCUUGGGGAAGGCCAUGAGGAGUCCAAUAUGAGAACUAAAGUCCGGAGAUUAUAUGACAUUGCUAAUGUGCUGUCUUCACUGAAGCUCAUUGAAAAGACACAAGUGGACACAAGGAAGCCUGCAUUCCGGUGGUUGGGCAUGGCGGGGAAACCAAAAGCAGAAAAUGGUGUCACGGUUGUUGCAUCCCCAGCAAGGAAGACUCUGUCAAACAAGAGAGUCUUUGGAACUGAACUCACUAACAUUGGUAUAAAUAGAAGCCAGCUGGAACCAACAAUCCAGAAGAAAGCGAAGCUGGCACAGGGCGGUGCUGAUAUCUUGAAGAGCUACAACGUGGCCGCGCAGAAGCAGCCCGGGCAGGUUAACAAGAGUGGUUUUGUUUAUGGGCCUUUCCACCCUUCUUGUGCAAGAAAACAGGAGCCUGAUGACUGUAAUAAUUGGGAGAGCCUUGCCGAUUCAUUUCGACCGCAGUACCAGAACCCAGCACUUGGUGACCUUUUUGCUCAUUACGUGGAUGCGUGGAAGUCGUGGUACUCUGAAUUUUCGCAGGGUAGCGGCAUCAUGCAGCAACACUUGGGCAGUUCUGUUAAUAAUAAACGAUUUUUGUAG